UACGUAGGGGGGCUAGCGUUGUCCGGAAUCAUUGGGCGUAAAGCGCGUGUAGGCGGUCCGGUAAGUCCGCUGUGAAAGUCCAGGGCUCAACCCUGGAAUGCCGGUGGAAACUGUCGAGCUAGAGUCCGGAAGAGGAGUGUGGAAUUCCUGGUGUAGCGGUGAAAUGCGCAGAUAUCAGGAGGAACACCAAUGGCGAAGGCAGCACUCUGGGACGUGACUGACGCUGAGACGCGAAAGCGUGGGGAGCAAACAGG
rnacentral:rRNA from 1 species